rnacentral:rRNA from 1 species
AAAUUGAAGAGUUUGAUCAUGGCUCAGAUUGAACGCUGGCGGCAGGCCUAACACAUGCAAGUCGAACGGUAGCACAGAGAGCUUGCUCUCGGGUGACGAGUGGCGGACGGGUGAGUAAUGUCUGGGAAACUGCCUGAUGGAGGGGGAUAACUACUGGAAACGGUGGCUAAUACCGCAUAACGUCGCAAGACCAAAGAGGGGGACCUUCGGGCCUCUUGCCAUCAGAUGUGCCCAGAUGGGAUUAGCUAGUUGGUGAGGUAACGGCUCACCAAGGCGACGAUCCCUAGCUGGUCUGAGAGGAUGACCAGCCACACUGGAACUGAGACACGGUCCAGACUCCUACGGGAGGCAGCAGUGGGGAAUAUUGCACAAUGGGCGCAAGCCUGAUGCAGCCAUGCCGCGUGUAUGAAGAAGGCCUUCGGGUUGUAAAGUACUUUCAGCGGGGAGGAAGGUGUUGUGGUUAAUAACCGCAGCAAUUGACGUUACCCGCAGAAGAAGCACCGGCUAACUCCGUGCCAGCAGCCGCGGUAAUACGGAGGGUGCAAGCGUUAAUCGGAAUUACUGGGCGUAAAGCGCACGCAGGCGGUCUGUCAAGUCGGAUGUGAAAUCCCCGGGCUCAACCUGGGAACUGCAUUCGAAACUGGCAGGCUUGAGUCUUGUAGAGGGGGGUAGAAUUCCAGGUGUAGCGGUGAAAUGCGUAGAGAUCUGGAGGAAUACCGGUGGCGAAGGCGGCCCCCUGGACAAAGACUGACGCUCAGGUGCGAAAGCGUGGGGAGCAAACAGGAUUAGAUACCCUGGUAGUCCACGCCGUAAACGAUGUCUACUUGGAGGUUGUGCCCUUGAGGCGUGGCUUCCGGAGCUAACGCGUUAAGUAGACCGCCUGGGGAGUACGGCCGCAAGGUUAAAACUCAAAUGAAUUGACGGGGGCCCGCACAAGCGGUGGAGCAUGUGGUUUAAUUCGAUGCAACGCGAAGAACCUUACCUGGUCUUGACAUCCACAGAAGAAUCCAGAGAUGGAUUUGUGCCUUCGGGAACUGUGAGACAGGUGCUGCAUGGCUGUCGUCAGCUCGUGUUGUGAAAUGUUGGGUUAAGUCCCGCAACGAGCGCAACCCUUAUCCUUUGUUGCCAGCGGUUAGG